rnacentral:rRNA from 1 species
GACGAACCGUGCGAACGUUGUUCGGAAUCAUUGGGCGUAAAGCGCGCGUAGGCGGCCUCGUAAGUCCGUUGUGAAAGUCAAAGGCUCAACCUUUGAAAGCCGAUGGAUACUGUGAGGCUAGAGUCCGGAAGAGGCGAGUGGAAUUCCUGGUGUAGCGGUGGAAUGCGCAGAUAUCAGGAGGAACACCAAUAGCGAAGGCAGCUCGCUGGGACGGUACUGACGCUAAGGCGCGAAAGCGUGGGGAGCGAACAAG